rnacentral:lncRNA from 1 species
CUGAGGGUGCCUGGCUUCCUCCAGGGGAUACUCGGAUUCCAAAUCUAAGCACGAGCCUCUUUCAGAACUUCAGGCCGUGUGCUGACAUGGAAUCCCUGGUGCCACGAAAGACCCCAGAGCAGCACAAUCUGAGCUCACUCUGUUUCCAAUACUGCGCCCAGGUAACGCUGCCUCCUCAUGCCACAGGUCCAGAGCGCCCAGCCGCUGGUAGACACCCGCGCCCCGCUGACGUUCCGCCAUCUCCACCUGAAACUCAAGAGGCUGAAGGUGCAAGUGAUUCUCCUGCCUCAGCCUGCCGAGUAGCUGGGAUUACAGG